AACCCUAGCCACAAUUCCCUUUCCUCAGCCACCGCACCCCAUCUCCCACUCUGAGCUGCACCCUAUCUCCCGGUCCUAGCACUCUAGCAGUGAGGGAGGAGAGCAUGGUGGCCAUGGUUGGCAGCGCAUCGAGUAGAGUGGCCGGCCUCCUUAGCGAUGGUGGCGUGAAGGGUCGGCGGCUCGGCUAGGGCGGCGCGAGGGUUCACCAUUCCAAGCCUCGUCCACACCAUCUAUGAUGACAGGAUGAUGCUUGUAGCGCUGACGGCUCCCUCAGUGAUGGUUUUGCAGGUUCUGGAAGACGGAUCCGGCUGUGGUGAGGUGGCACCGGCGAGCACAGCCCAGAUCCACACGAGAGAAGGCCGGACCUGCGCUAGGAAGUUUCCAACUCGGCUCCUUCAUCCUUAAGGCCAUCACCAUCAAUGGCUCUGGCAAGAUCCAUGGCGCAUUCAUGGCUUUGAGGGCCCAGUGUUGCAGGUUGCGGGCGUGUGGAUGCUGCCCCAGUGGACGUGAAGAUUGUCCAGUGUGCUUCGGCAUGGCACCAUAGUCCAGGUCUUUGACUUCAUCUGCAACACCAGCACAAUCAGUAACUGCAAGUGAAGGGCUCCCGUUCAUUUCUGCAAGCCAUUUGGACUAGCUAUGCAUUUUUUUGAACAUGCACGCCAUGGAAAGUGGCAUGAAUAACGAGUUUGUCUGCAGCGACUGCAAGCUGUCUUCAGUGGCGCAGGGUGGCCACAGAAACGUGUCCAGCGGCUGCAAGCUGCCUUCAGUGCUGCAGGGUGACCACAGAAAUAGCUGGAACAAAUUAACUUGUUUAGUGAACAAAUAUAGCUAGUACUGUAUGUUAGUUUAUGGAGCCAUUUUGUAUGCCCAUUUAUGAUACAUAUAUGAAAUGUUAUGUUUGGAGCACCCAUUAUGUAUGGUCAUUAUUGUGUAAUUAGUAAUUGUUAUUAUAUUGUUUGUGACUGUUUUUUAAAUGGGUCAGCCCAGCUUUGAUUGUAACAAUAUUGGGCUUAAAGGAAGAAAA